AGAGUUUGAUCCUGGCUCAGGACGAACGCUGGCGGCGCGCCUAACACAUGCAAGUCGAACGAGAGAGAGGGAGCUUGCUUCCUCAAUCGAGUGGCGAACGGGUGAGUAACGCGUGAGGAACCUGCCUCAAAGAGGGGGACAACAGUUGGAAACGACUGCUAAUACCGCAUAAGCCCACAGGUCGGCAUCGACCAGAGGGAAAAGGAGCAAUCCGCUUUGAGAUGGCCUCGCGUCCGAUUAGCUAGUUGGUGAGGUAAUGGCCCACCAAGGCGACGAUCGGUAGCCGGACUGAGAGGUUGAACGGCCACAUUGGGACUGAGACACGGCCCAGACUCCUACGGGAGGCAGCAGUGGGGAAUAUUGCACAAUGGGGGAAACCCUGAUGCAGCGACGCCGCGUGGAGGAAGAAGGUCUUCGGAUUGUAAACUCCUGUUGUUGAGGAAGAUAAUGACGGUACUCAACAAGGAAGUGACGGCUAACUACGUGCCAGCAGCCGCGGUAAAACGUAGGUCACAAGCGUUGUCCGGAAUUACUGGGUGUAAAGGGAGCGCAGGCGGGAAGACAAGUUGGAAGUGAAAUCUAUGGGCUCAACCCAUAAACUGCUUUCAAAACUGUUUUUCUUGAGUAGUGCAGAGGUAGGCGGAAUUCCCGGUGUAGCGGUGGAAUGCGUAGAUAUCGGGAGGAACACCAGUGGCGAAGGCGGCCUACUGGGCACCAACUGACGCUGAGGCUCGAAAGUGUGGGUAGCAACAGGAUUAGAUACCCUGGUAGUCCACACCGUAAACGAUGAUUACUAGGUGUUGGAGGAUUGACCCCUUCAGUGCCGCAGUUAACACAAUAAGUAAUCCACCUGGGGAGUACGACCACAAGGUUGAAACUCAAAGGAAUUGACGGGGGCCCGCACAAGCAGUGGAGUAUGUGGUUUAAUUCGACGCAACGCGAAGAACCUUACCAAGUCUUGACAUCCUGCGACGGACAUAGAAAUAUGUCUUUCCUUCGGGACGCAGAGACAGGUGGUGCAUGGUUGUCGUCAGCUCGUGUCGUGAGAUGUUGGGUUAAGUCCCGCAACGAGCGCAACCCUUACUGUCAGUUACUACGCAAGAGGACUCUGGCAGGACUGCCGUUGACAAAACGGAGGAAGGUGGGGAUGACGUCAAAUCAUCAUGCCCUUUAUGACUUGGGCUACACACGUACUACAAUGGCGUUAAACAAAGAGAAGCAAGACCGCGAGGUGGAGCAAAACUCAGAAACAACGUCCCAGUUCGGACUGCAGGCUGCAACUCGCCUGCACGAAGUCGGAAUUGCUAGUAAUCGUGGAUCAGCAUGCCACGGUGAAUACGUUCCCGGGCCUGUACACACCGCCCGUC
rnacentral:rRNA from 1 species